UACGUAGGUGGCAAGCGUUGUCCGGAAUUACUGGGCGUAAAGCGCGCGUAGGCGGUUUUGUAAGUCGGGUGUGAAAUCCCCAAGCUUAACUUGGGAACUGCAUUCGAGACUGCAUAGCUAGAGUAUGGGAGAGGGAAGUGGAAUUUCAGGUGUAGCGGUGAAAUGCGUAGAUAUCUGAAGGAACAUCAGUGGCGAAAGCGACUUCCUGGACCAAUACUGACGCUCAUGUGCGAAAGCGUGGGGAGCAAACAGG
rnacentral:rRNA from 1 species